ensembl:lncRNA
GGACCUGAAGGAGAUGGUAGGAGAUGAAGUAGCUGGAGGCUGUGGGAAUGAUGGCGGAACAGGAGGCAGAUGAAGAGUUGAUGAAGAAGAUGGAGGAACCUGGUGGAGGGCGAGUUGGUGGAGGAGGAGGAAGAUGAAGAGUUGGUGAUGAGGAGAAGAAGGAUGGCCUGGAGGAGGUGAAGAUUUGGAGGAGGAGUUGGCAGAAGGGGAGACGGAGGAGACCGAUGGAUCCUCUUACCGGUGUUAAAGGAAAAAGGAUCAUGGUUCAUCAUCAUGGUCUUCCAUGGCGCUCUCCAUAACGAAAUGUUGUUACUGAAGAGACAGCACUCACCCCGGGGCCCAGAGCCGGCACGGUAUGUAUCUCAAGGAUGAACUACAUAGGGACCUGAGACUGAAAAGAGGCCUGGGCGAGAGACAGAUGGCGUCACUUCUCCUUCCCCCCCCCCGCCUUCACAUAUGCAUGGGUUUUGUGCACAUGCAUCUGUGGUCACCACGGUGAUGAGGUACUAGCCAAAUCAUGUUGUUAUGUAAUAUUAUGAUUAUAUUAGAUGGUAUCAUUUUGUUUUCAUAUUAACAUCAGCUCGAAUUGAAUAGGAAGUUGAUAUAUAAGGGUAUGGUAAACACUAAACAAGUGUGAAUAUGGUAUUCAUAAAAUUAAUUAUGUAACAUUUUAUUUUCUGUCAUCCACUGCACAAAGUAGGAGGUUUUGAUGGAUCGCCUGGGCAUAAGAAAUGCUAUUGUAUAGAAAAAAUAAAAAUAUAUAUUUAUAUCCGCAUGAAACAAUCCCCGGAAUAAUACCUUUGUAUGUAUGCUGUGCAUGGAUGUGCUUUUUCAUACAUCGCAACAUAGGGAAGAUUAUAUAGAACACUAUGAUAAUAUGUCCAACUAAAUUUCAGAUACCUAACAUACUGUGCACACCAUUAAAGCAUUGUCGUGGCAAUUUGACAGCAAAGGCCAUCUUCCCC